CCUACGGGCUGCUGCAGUGGGGAAUAUUGGACAAUGGGCGAAAGCCUGAUCCAGCCAUGCCGCGUGUGUGAAGAAGGCCUUCGGGUUGUAAAGCACUUUCAGUGGGGAAGAAAGCCUUGGGGCUAAUACCCUCGAGGAAGGACAUCACCCACAGAAGAAGCACCGGCUAACUCCGUGCCAGCAGCUGCGGUAAUACGGAGGGUGCGAGCGUUAAUCGGAAUUACUGGGCGUAAAGCGCGCGUAGGCGGUCUGAUAAGCCGGUUGUGAAAGCCCCGGGCUCAACCUGGGAACGGCAUCCGGAACUGUCAGGCUAGAGUGAAGGAGAGGAAGGUAGAAUUCCCGGUGUAGCGGUGAAAUGCGUAGAGAUCGGGAGGAAUACCAGUGGCGAAGGCGGCCUUCUGGACUGACACUGACGCUGAGGUGCGAAAGCGUGGGUAGCAAACAGGAUUAGAUACCCGGGUAGUC
rnacentral:rRNA from 1 species